GGACUACAAGGGUUUCUAAUCCUGUUUGCUCCCCACGCUUUCGCGCCUCAGCGUCAGUCUCGGUCCAGAGAGCCGCCUUCGCCACCGGUGUUCUUCCCAAUAUCUACGAAUUUCACCUCUACACUGGGAAUUCCACUCUCCUCUCCCGAACUCUAGCCCCUCAGUCCCAAGCGCAAUUCCCAGGUUAAGCCCGGGGCUUUCACGCCUGACUUGAGUGGCCGCCUGCGCGCCCUUUACGCCCAGUAAUUCCGAACAACGCUCGCCCCCUUCGUAUUACCGCGGCGGCUGGCAC
rnacentral:rRNA from 2 species